rnacentral:pre_miRNA from 1 species
AAUAAGUGCAGUUUUGCACUGUUUAUAUUCAACGUUUGACUAUUUAUCUUAUUUAAAAAAUAUGAUUAGUAUUUUUAUUGUUAUUAGAUGGUAAAACAUGAAUAAUAUUUUAUGUGUGACUAUUUUUUAAAAAAAAUUUAUAAAUUUUUCAAAUAAGACGAACAGUCAAACGUUGGAUUUUGGAAC